GGAGACCUUGGCAUUUACUUUUAGGUUACCACAACAUAGUGGAAAGAUAGUUUUACACAACGGACUUCCACUUCCGGUCAGCUCCGGGACCGGAAGUGACGCACGUGGAGGACUUUUUAGAUUUAUUAUAAAUAUGCAUCAUUAGAAAUGUAGCACCAGCCUUGAUAAAGAGAGUUAUCUCGAAACGCGUUGGUUGGGAGGAGGAUUCUUGCUCACUUGGACUGUCACCUGCACGGCGGGGGAAAGCUGGUGACUAUGGACCGCAUGCCGUGUACUGGGUGGAACGCAAGCUGCGGUUUCCCAGACUACGAGCUAUGCGACGACCGGAACCUGGACGGCGGAAGUGACGCAAUGACGGGGACACUGUGCAGAGCGGGAGAUGCGGCGAUGAUCAGUCCAGGUGGGGUAUUUAGGAGAAAAUGUAAAAAAAUGGAAGCUGGCAAAAAAAUUCUGCAGAAUAUGGAAGAAAAUGAAGAAGAUGAAUUAACUUUUAAAGCAUUUGAGGAAAUAAUGGCUAAUGUGAUCGUUAUUGUGGCAGGAAUAUGAAGGAAACCAAUUAUGCAUUGCUAUGUUUAACUAAUAAACCUCUGCAGGCAAUCUGA